rnacentral:lncRNA from 1 species
GACGCGGAGACGUUGGCGACAGUGGCCGCUGGGGGAGCUGCUGAGUGCCGCCCAGCACUGGGCUCCCUUUCCCUUCACUCUCGGCAGUUUCUUGCCUCCGUGGGUGGUUGGCGCGUCUGCGGAGCCAGAGUCGUUGUGUGGAUCGUGGGACUGCAGCCCCAGCCAAAGGGCUGUCACGUCUGGUCGGUUCCGUCACCCACGGUUCCGGUUUCCAGUCGUUAAGGGUCCAGCAGUCUGUUAAGUAGCUCCCUGUCCCUUCUGGAAGCUUGGCCAGGGAAGGUCAUUCCACCUUUGAGUUCCAGAUGAAAUCUCGCUCUGUCAUCCAGGCUGGAGUGCAGUCGCACUAUCUCAACUCAUUGUAACCUCUGCACUUGUUCCCUAAAAUCACUGUUAUUCUGUUCUUUUUUAAGGUGCACUGAUUUCAUAUUGUUCAAAUGCACAUUUACAAUCAGAUUUCAUAUUGUUCAAACACACAUGUUUUACAAUCAAUUUGUUAGUUAAUGCAAUCAUCACAGGGUCCUGAGGUGACGUACAUUCUCAGCUUAUGAAGAUAACAGGAUUGAGAUUAAAAUAAAGACAGGCAUAAGAAAUUAUAAGAGUAUUAUUUGGGAACUGAUAAAUGUUCA